rnacentral:rRNA from 1 species
GAUGAACGCUGGCGGCGUGCCUAAUACAUGCAAGUCGAGCGAACGGACGAGAAGCUUGCUUCUCUGAUGUUAGCGGCGGACGGGUGAGUAACACGUGGAUAACCUACCUAUAAGACUGGGAUAACUUCGGGAAACCGGAGCUAAUACCGGAUAAUAUUUUGAACCGCAUGGUUCAAAAGUGAAAGACGGUCUUGCUGUCACUUAUAGAUGGAUCCGCGCUGCAUUAGCUAGUUGGUAAGGUAACGGCUUACCAAGGCAACGAUGCAUAGCCGACCUGAGAGGGGGAUCGGCCACACUGGAACUGAGACACGGGCCAGACCCCUAGGGGAGGCAGCAGUAGGGAAUCUUCCGCAAGGGGGGAAAGCCGGACGGAGAAACGCCGGGGGGGUGAAGAAGGGCUUCGGAUCGUAAAACUCUGUUAUUAGGGAAAAAAAUAUGUGUAAGUAACGGUGCACAUCUUGACGGUACCAAAUCAGAAAGCCACGGCUAAAUACGU